rnacentral:rRNA from 1 species
GUGGGGAAUAUUGGACAAUGGGCGAAAGCCUGAUCCAGCCAUGCCGCGUGUGUGAAGAAGGUCUUCGGAUUGUAAAGCACUUUAAGUUGGGAGGAAGGGUAGUAACCUAAUACGUUGCUACUUUGACGUUACCGACAGAAUAAGCACCGGCUAACUUCGUGCCAGCAGCCGCGGUAAUACGAAGGGUGCAAGCGUUAAUCGGAAUUACUGGGCGUAAAGCGCGCGUAGGUGGUUCAGUAAGUUGGAAGUGAAAUCCCCGGGCUCAACCUGGGAACUGCUUUCAAAGCUGCUGAGCUAGAGUACGGUAGAGGGUGGUGGAAUUUCCUGUGUAGCGGUGAAAUGCGUAGAUAUAGGAAGGAACACCAGUGGCGAAGGCGACCACCUGGACUGAUACUGACACUGAGGUGCGAAAGCGUGGGGAGCAAACAGGAUUAGAAACCCGGGUAGUCC